rnacentral:rRNA from 1 species
GAUGAACGCUAGCGGCAGGCCUAACACAUGCAAGUCGAGGGGUAGAAGUCUUCGGGCUUUGAGACCGGCGCACGGGUGCGUAACGCGUAUGCAAUCUGCCUUACACUAAGGGAUAGCCCAGAGAAAUUUGGAUUAAUACCUUAUAGUAUAUUGAUGUGGCAUCACAUUAUUAUUAAAGAUUUAUUGGUGUAAGAUGAGCA